rnacentral:misc_RNA from 1 species
GUUGGCUUUUGGCUAUGGUGAUAACGAUCUGUUCAAUAGUGGCAAUCUUAGAGUGAAUUUGUUCAUUAUCAACAUUAAGUUUGGAGACAUUAUCCUCCAAAAGAGAGAGAUUCCUCUCUACCAUAUCCAUUCGAGUCUCCAUGUGAGUGUUAGUCAUCAAUAUGGCAAGUUGGACCAAAUUGGUAGAGUGAAGAAUCUCAACAGCAAUUAGGCAAUAUUUUAAGCCAAACAGGAAGGAAAUAGAGCAAAGUAAACUUUCAUUGAUGUAGCUGGCUAACCAAGAAAAAUUUACAAUGAG